rnacentral:rRNA from 1 species
CUACGGGCCGCUGCAGUGGGGAAUCUUAGACAAUGGGCGCAAGCCUGAUCUAGCCAUGCCGCGUGAGUGAUGAAGGCCUUAGGGUUGUAAAGCUCUUUCAGAUGGGAAGAUAAUGACGGUACCAUCAGAAGAAGCCCCGGCUAACUCCGUGCCAGCAGCCGCGGUAAUACGGAGGGGGCUAGCGUUGUUCGGAAUUACUGGGCGUAAAGCGCACGUAGGCGGAUUGGAAAGUCAGAGGUGAAAUCCCAGGGCUCAACCUUGGAACUGCCUUUGAAACUAUCAGUCUGGAGUUCGAGAGAGGUGAGUGGAAUUCCGAGUGUAGAGGUGAAAUUCGUAGAUAUUCGGAGGAACACCAGUGGCGAAGGCGGCUCACUGGCUCGAUACUGACGCUGAGGUGCGAAAGCGUGGGGAGCAAACAGGAUUAGAUACCCCCGUAGUC